GUGAUCUGCUCACCUUGGCCUCCUAAAGUUCUGCGAUUACAGGCCCGGCUGCAUAGCAGUUGAGUGAUGCUGGUUAGCUGUUAAGGUGGCCUGUUGCAGUGCAGAGUGCUGAGCUGUUUCCUGUUUUCUUCUGAUUGCUCCUGAAAAAAGAAGCCCUGUCCUGAAGAACAAAUGGCUGUUCAGUUUAUUAAAAUGCCUGUCAACUGCCCUUCCAGUCACCCAGGCCUGGAAGAGAAAUAAUAGAGCAUGCAGUGAGCACAUCUAGCUGAUAUGAUAAUCACACCUCUUCCCCCUCCCUAUUCUGUUAAAUGGCAAAUCUGAUCAUGUCAACAUACAUGAACUUAAAAUAUGGGGAAUGUUAUGGAAGAAAUGGUUUGUAACUGUAGGUACUUACAACAUGGUGUAUGUUUUUGAUUAUGAAUAUUUCUUACUAUAACCGUGUUUCUAUCAUUGAAUUAAAAUGUUUUCUUGGUGUUACCUUUUCUCAAAAUAAAACUAGAAAUAUUUUGUAGAAAGUUGGUGGUUUUAUUUUGCUGUUGGAUACUUUCUGCUAUUUGUACUUUUGGGAAAAUUAUGUUACCAAGUUUCUCAUAGGAUUCAAUUAUAAUUAAAAAAAACUCUACAAGGUUUAGCUAUGUGCUUUAUUAUUUUAUCACAAUGU